GGAAGACUUGGAGUAUCUAGAACAACUAGAACUUGAUUUGGCUAAUAGUGCAAAAGAUUCAACUAUUAUUGACAUAUAGUUGCAACAUGUACCAUGUGUGGUUUGAUCAUGGUGCCUAAAUGGAAGUGAUGCUGCAGUAAAUAGACUUCACUUGUUUCAUGCUACUUAAUGUAAUUAUUUCUCUGGUUUUGAGACUUCAGCAGCAUGAAAACUUUCUAACUUUU